GAUGAAGAACGUAGCGAAAUGUGAUACUUGGUGUGAAUUGCAGAAUCCCGCGAAUCAUCGAGUUUUUGAACGCAAGUUGCGCCCGAAGCCAUUCGGCCGAGGGCACGUCUGCCUGGGUGUCACGCAUCGUUGCCCCCCCAAACUCCGGUUUGGGCGGGGCGGAAGUUGGCCUCCCGUGCGUGCCUGCGCGCGCGGUUAGCCCAAAAGCGAGUCCUCGGCGACGAGCGCCACGACAAUCGGUGGUUUUUUUACCCUCGUUCCUCGUCGUGCGUGUCCCGUCGCCCGAACGCGCUCUUGUGACCCUCACGCGUCGCCUCAGUGGCGCUCCCAACGCGACCCCAGGUCAGGCGGGACUACCCGCUGAGUUUAAGCAUAUCAAUAAGCGGAGGA
rnacentral:misc_RNA from 1 species